rnacentral:rRNA from 1 species
GGUGUAUAAAGCGGCGAACGGGUGAGUAACGCGUGGACAACCUGUCCUGUAGUGGGGAACAACUUCGGGAAACCGGAGCUAAUUCCGCAGAUGUUGUUUUCUCACAAGAGGAAAUGACUGAAGACGGGGUAACCUGUCGCUACAGGAGGGGUCCGCGUCCCAUUAGCUUGUUGGCGGGGUAACGGCCCACCAAGGCGACGAUGGGUAGCUGGUCUGAGAGGACGAUCAGCCACAGUGGCACUGAGACACGGGCCACACUCCUACGGGAGGCAGCAGUGGGGAAUCUUCCGCAAUGGGCGAAAGCCUGACGGAGCGACGCCGCGUGCGGGAUGAAGGCUCUAGGGUCGUAAACCGCUGUCAGGAGGGAGGAAUAAGGUGCGGAGUAACUGCCGCAUCGAUGACGUUACCUCCAGAGGAAGCCCCGGCUAAUCCUACGUGCCAGCAGCCGCGGUAAUACGUAA